CCUACGGGAGGCAGCAGUGAGGAAUAUUGGUCAAUGGGCGUAAGCCUGAACCAGCCAAGUCGCGCGAGGGAUGAAGGUUCUAUGGAUCGUAAACCUCUUUUAUAAGGGAAUAAAGUGUGGGACGUGUCCUGUUUUGUAUGUACCUUAUGAAUAAGGAUCGGCUAACUCCGUGCCAGCAGCCGCGGUAAUACGGAGGAUCCGAGCGUUAUCCGGAUUUAUUGGGUUUAAAGGGUGCGUAGGCGACCUUUUAAGUCAGCGGUGAAAGUCUGUGGCUCAACCAUAGAAUUGCCGUUGAAACUGGGAGGCUUGAGUAUGUUUGAGGCAGGCGGAAUGCGUGGUGUAGCGGUGAAAUGCUUAGAUAUCACGCAGAACCCCGAUUGCGAAGGCAGCCUGCCAAGCCAUGACUGACGCUGAUGCACGAAAGCGUGGGGAUCAAACAGGAUUAGAUACCCCAGUAGUC
rnacentral:rRNA from 1 species